AAACUUUUUCCAAAUUCCACAUUUUGAUGAGUGUUAUAAACCUACUUAAGACUUGUCACUCAAUUCACAAUCUUGGAGUAUAACUGUAAGACUCGAUAUUGGAACGAAGUAUGAUUGACUUCUUGAUUUUAACCAUUUCCACAAUUCUUGAUUCCUCUUUUUAGACAUAUAAAUGUACUAAGACUCACUUAGAGGAUCAAUUGAAAUAUGGUUCUUAAUCAUUAAGACUUAUCACAAAACACAAUAAAAGGUACUCUCCUUUCUUCUUAGAAUAAAGAAACUUUUAUCUUUAUGACUUCUUGAUUCUUCUUAUUCGUUCUGCCAUUUAUUGAAACUUUUUUAAUCAACUCAGAAUUACACUUAAUCUUAUAAGUAUAAUCAUAUUUACUAAACUUUAGUAAAUCAUGACGAAUAUCUUUAUCACUCUUGUGGUGGACUUGAUCGACUCACAACCUAGUGUACUCGAUCUCCUAGUCCUUCACUUGACACUUUGUCAAAGAAUUAGUCUAAUUUCCAAAUAUGAAAGUUUUUCAUUCAUCAUACAAUACAUGUUGCAUGAUUCCAAGUUUCUGUCCAAUUGAAACUUGGGCGAUGAGAAGCUCUCCCUAUUUGGUAAAUUCUCGACAUUUCCACAAAUAACAUAAUUAAGAAUCAAAUCCAUUAUUGCUAAUAGUAGAAACAUUCAAACAUCAAUUUUUCAUACAUGCCAUUGCAAGGAUAAAUAAACAAGAUAAAAUCAAAAUUUAUUUUAUUGCGGAAAAAAAUUUGUCCUUACAAUGCAAUCAACUGAAAACUAUGUUAUUACAUAUUUCUUAGCAAUCUAUUCUAACUCCAAGAAGUAGCUCAAAAAUCCAAUCUUCAAACAAUGCGAUUGAAAUCCAUUUUCUUCACGAUUAGCUUCAACUCACUUCUUCCCUCAAUCUUCCUCUUUUUUCUUCGAUCCUAUAAUACAUCAAAAAAUGUAAUCUUAUCACAUCAUGUAUUAAGAAUCUAGAAUAGAGACUUAAAAGAGUUAGAUAAUGAAUUUUACCUGAAGUAGAGCCAUAUGCCUUGACUCUCCCAUCUCUUAGAUCUCUCAGGUAGUUUGGGCAGCUUCGUCUCCAAUUCCCCUUCUCUUGGCAAUAAAAGCAAAUGGACUCCUUUGGCACAGCACAUCGGACAAUCACAUACUUAGUCCUUUCUGGACUUCCAAUGUUGCCAGUGUCCAUUGAAGUUUGAGAGUUUGAUUCACCAGACAAAUUUGCUUGACCAGCACGCCAAAUCAUUGUUGAUUCGGCAGCUAUAAGCAAAUAGGGGAGAUCAAUGAGGGUCACGUCGUGUUCCAUCAUAUAGUACUCUCUUACAAACUCAUUAUAUGAUUUAGGAAGUGACUGAAGAACCCAGUCAACAGCCAACUCACCUGAAAUCUUGACACCCAACAUCCUUAAUCUGUCAAUGUGUGACUUCAUCUCUAAGACGUGUGCACACACAGGUUUCCCAUCUUCGUGUUUACUUGCCAAAAGGGCUUGAGUUAGCUUGAACUUUUCAAGCCUUCGAACUUGUGGGUCAGGGAGAAUAAUUGGAGGAGGUGGAGGAAGUGAAGCAUGAUUUGUGGUUCCUUGAUCAUAUCGAGGAAUAUCAUCUUCAUUUGGAAGACUUGUUCCAUGGGAUUUGGGAAGACCAUUAUUAGAUUCAGACAUCUACAAAACAGGAGAAAUUCAAGUUAAGUUGAUUAAAAUCCUUGAUGUAACACCCAAAUGAAACAUCAAGGCUAGGAUCCAACACAAUACUCUACAACCUAGAAAAGGAAUGCCGUAAUCUAGUUGCAAAAUAUUUGAAGGUAAGUGAAUGACGAUUCACUAAUUUCCACCAUUAAAAACGAAAAAGAAAUUUAAGUUUUAAAUCUAUGAAAACUCCUAGAUCUUUUGAGAUUCAUUGAACAUUUCAAUGGCAUGUUUAAAUCUCGAUAUGCCCCUCUAGUUUGUGACUGGGAUGUCGAGGAUCACAAAGCGGGUGUGAAUAACCAUGCAAACUUACAUGGUUCCCUCACAUGUUACAGUCACCUAUUCGAUGUGCCGGUAAACCACACACGCUCCACCGAACUAUGACAAACAUUGAGUCACCCUUUGCUACCUUUGCUUAGAACCAUUUAGUGUGCCGGUAAACCACACACGCUCCACUAACGUCUUNNNNNNNNNNNNNNNNNNNNNNNNNNNNNNNNNNNNNNNNNNNNNNNNNNNNNNNNNNNNNNNNNNNNNNNNNNNNNNNNNNNNNNNNNNNNNNNNNNNNNNNNNNNNNNNNNNNNNNNNNNNNNNNNNNNNNNNNNNNNNNNNNNNNNNNNNNNNNNNNNNNNNNNNNNNNNNNNNNNNNNNNNNNNNNNNNNNNNNNNNNNNNNNNNNNNNNNNNNNNNNNNNNNNNNNNNNNNNNNNNNNNNNNNNNNNNNNNNNNNNNNNNNNNNNNNNNNNNNNNNNNNNNNNNNNNNNNNNNNNNNNNNNNNNNNNNNNNNNNNNNNNNNNNNNNNNNNNNNNNNNNNNNNNNNNNNNNNNNNNNNNNNNNNNNNNNNNNNNNNNNNNNNNNNNNNNNNNNNNNNNNNNNNNNNNNNNNNNNNNNNNNNNNNNNNNNUAAUGUUACAUAUAUAUAGUAUAGGGUGUAUUUUACACUUUUAAAAUACUAGGUGGUUUUAUUAACUUUCUCUUUUAAUUAAACUUUUAAUUAACUUAACAAAACCAUGUGGGUGUAAUUUGAACUUUUCAAAAUACUGGGGUUUUAGAAUUUAAAUAUUACAUAAUUAAACUAUUAAUCAAAAUUUUAAAUUCCAAAACUUAAGGGAAAGUUUUGAAACAUUUCAAAACAUUAGGGUUUAGAAUUUAAAUAUCUCAAAAUUAAACUUUUGAUUAAAAUUUUAAAUUCCAAAACUUGAGGGCAAGUUUUGAAACUUUUCAAAACAUUAGGGUUUAACUAUUUAAAUUUCAAAAACAAAACUUUUAAGUUCAAAUUUAAACUAUAAAACCUAAAGGGGAAAAUUGAAACUUUUUCACAGGAUAAUUCAAAUCUAAAUUACAAAUAAUCAAUCUUUAUCUAAUAAAACAAAAGAUUAUCAAAAUUUUGACAAUUAUCUUCUAUUUUAGCAAGGAUAAUCUCCAAAUAUUGAUAAAAAAAAUCGUUUUUUAUUAAUAAAAUUCGUUUUAGGUAAUUAUCCACAGCCAAAACAGGUCAAAAUCCCUAAAUCAACUCCAUCUGACUCUCUGACUCGUCGAGUCAGGCUUGGACUCGUCGAGUUCACUAUGGACUCGGCGAGUCAGCCAGUUGAUCGGCAAGUCAGCCAGUUGACUUGGCGUGUCAAUUCGAAAAACCUCAAAAAAUUCGAUUUUCAGCCAAAAUUCGAUCAAAUAAGCAUCAAAUUCAUUAACAAACAGCCCUAGGCUCUGAUACCACUGAUGGGUUUUGAGCAAUACAUCAUUCCUAUGGUGUACAUGCAAACCCUAAUAGCUUUGGAUCUAGUUUGUCUAAUGAACAUGCAAUUGAUAAUCCAAAGCCAUAAACCCUAGAUCUAAUAAACUAUAACUGAAAUUAGGGUUUAGAUCUUACCUUUGAUUGCUAUAUAGCAAUAACAAUCAAUCCUUGGCUUCAGAAAGCUUAGUGCCUCAAGUGUUGCACCUCUAAUGGAGUCACAAACACCACUAAGCAACUUGGAUGAAGAGGGAGGAGAGAGGAGGCACCAAAAACAGCUGGAAACCCUAAAGGAACACUUAGCCACGUUUUUGGGUCUCAGGGGUUCUUUAAAUAGGUAGGCAAUUCGGGUUAUCUAACAAGGAAACCCUGAUUUGACUGCUUAGGCCCUAAGCAGCCCAUGGACCCCUUUUGGAACAUGCCUUGGACGAUUUCUAAUGGGCUUCCCCAUAGAAUUCGUCCAACCUAUUAUUCCAUGGUGAUCCAUAGCCUAAUUGCAAUAAUCUUAUAAUUACAGUUCCAGUCCCCUAAGUUUAAUUAAUCUCUUUUAGCCACAAAAUUAAUUCUUUAUUAAUUCUUGACAAAUAUUAAUUAAAUAAUAUGAUUUCUCCUUUAAUAUAUUAUUCUCAUAAUAUAUUAAUAAAUCAUAAUUAAACGUUUCUCUCCUUAAUUCAUCCUACAUAUUGCUAUGGUGAAGGCAACCCAAAAGGACCAUGCUCAUAAUCGGGUCAAGUACAUACCAAAAUAGUUAUGGACUUAGACACUAAUCCAACAUAUACAACCUGGACAUGACCACCUGUCUUGUGUGUUGGCAACUGAUGGUGAUUAUAAGGUGGCUUUGUUGAGGAAAAAGAAUUGAUCAAAAAACCAACUCCAAAUUUCAACCAGAUGAACAUUCAAUGGUGCAAACUAAUCCCAAUUAAGGCGUCGACAUUCGUAUGGCGAGCAGCUCUUAGUAGUACUCCUUCUGCGGUCGCUCUUGGACACAGAGGUGUGGCUCUAGCUAUCGUUCUAUGAAAUUCAUGUAUCAAUGAGGUGGAAUGCUCGUACCACUUACUGGUUAAAUGCCCUUACGUGAGGUCUGUUAGGAAAUCUAUAUUCGAUGUGUGGGAUCAACGUAAUGGAAGUUCACAAUGUUGGAGAUACACUUCAUUUGGCCGCUACCAAGGGAAGGUGCCCUAAGAAAAGAGACAGUCUAAUAUUCAUUUGUUACUGUCUAUGUGGAGUGUCUGGAAGGCUAGGAACAAUCGCCUCUUUCAAGCAUAUUUGUGUCCCCUGAUAAAUUGGUUGAGAACAUACAGUCAAUGUUGUAUCUUUGGGUGAAGGUGAAGGGCAAAGAUGGCGCCUGCAAUUUGGAAGAUUGGACCUCCUGUCCUAUCAAUUUCUAAAUUAAAAUUUAUGUUAUAUGUAAUUGUUACUGAUUGUAUUCGGUUUGCCGCCCUCUUUGCAGCUUGCUUUUUGGGGUGCUUUUUUAAUCAAUUUGCCUUUUCCAAAAAAGAAAAAAAAAAUACUUCAUUUUAAAGAGCUUUACAACUUUUAUGUUCAAACUCAACACCUAUAUGGGAUAAGUAUUUUUACUUCCCACUUAAGCAAAUUCAUCUCAUCCAUUCUUAAAUUUUUUAAAAAAAAAACACACACAACAUAAUUUCGACAAUUAACAUAAGCAAUAGGUAAAUUAAUAUCUUGAUUUGGUCCUAAAAUCUAAUAGAAUUAUAUAUAACAAAGNUGUGUGUAUAUAUAUAUAUAUAUAUAUAUAUAUAGAAAGAGAGAGAGGUUCUUUUGAGAACCAAAAGAUUUAUGAGAACUUCUUAACUCAUAAUCAGCUUAUCACUUUUCAACACCAAAAACACCAAUCUUCUCCAAAUGGUGCAUCACGAGUAUUGAAACAAUACACAUUUGGAGAUUACUUCAUGGAUCUAGUCACAAGUAGUUCUAAGAUGAUAGUAUCUUUUAUUAUUCAAAGUGAGAUAUAUAUGGGAUUUUGUUUGCAGAAUUUGUUGUGCAUUGGUAUGCUCCCAACGUUAUCCAUAAUUGGUAGUCAUAAAGGCUAUUUUCAUGUAUGAUUAGUCGAGUAGGGAAAAACUAUGUCAAAGUUUAUUUGUUCCUUCUUGUAACUAGGAAGCGGUAUCUAUGGGUCCCUUGAUGAUUUAGCGAUGACGUCGAAAGUGCUUGACCGAGCCAUAACUAAAUUGAUGUGUUCAAUUUAGAAGUCAGAUGUGAUUGUCAGAAAUCGUUAAUCUGGAAACAAAAUUUUGAACAGUGAGAUUGAUCAUUAUCUAUAUGUCACAUUUCCAUAAAGAUAUUUAGAACAAAGGAAUAUUUUAUCAUUUGUCUAAGAACUGAAUUUUGAUUAUGAUCAGAGCUUGAUAAUUGCAUUGGAUAACUACCCUCUAUUGAUUGUUAGUGAAAUAUUAAGAGUGUGGAAAGUUAACGACUUGUCCAAGUAGAAGACUAUUAAAAAUAGUGUCCAAGGUCAUUAACUAUUUUGGUAAUAUUUCUAAUAAUAGCAAGGUCCUUUUGGAUUGGCCUAAUGACACAAAUAGCAUUAAAGAAAUGAAGAAAAUAAAUUGUUAAUUUACUAACGAAUUAAUAAAUUAAUUAGAAAUUAUUUUGGUAGUUAAUUAAAUUUUUUUAUUAAAUAAAGAGCUUGAAUAUUAAUUAAUUCCUAGAGAUUAAUAGACGAUUUUGAUAUGCUCUCUGGAUAGAGAUAAGACAAGUUUAAAUUGGAUUAGGAUUAAUUUAAGAGUUUGAAUCAUCUUGGGAUUCUAUCUGCAACCUAUAAAUAGACUGAUAUAGGUCAAACCACGGGGUUGUGGUUCACUCUAGAAAUAAUCCACUUUCUUUCUCUCUCUCUCUCUCUCUCUCUCUCUCUCUCUCUCUUUUUCUCUCCUCCAUACGAAAUUUGUAACCUCUCUUUUAAGGUUAGAGAAUUUCGACUAAACCUUAAUCUAGGGUUCUUCCUUUUUGCUUUUGGAGUUUGUGGGUCUGACUACAUUUAAACCUGACAAUUCGUGUAUUUGUGUCAGCCACGAAUUUGACACAAUACAAAUAAACGAAGAUAAAUAAGUUUUAUCUCAAUUUUUAAGAUGUGUCCAUGUCAUGUCGUGUCACUCACAGAUCAUGUAUUCGUGUCUCAAAUUCUCAGGUCUAACUACAUUUACAUUAGAGGGAUUCUACUUUAGAUCAUUCAUCCACUACAAUCAUUGGCAUUCACAAGAUCUCAAGCAAGAAACUAAGAAGUUAGCAAGCUUUCCUUGUUGUUUUUAAAGUUCAUUGUUAUAACUACUAAAACCUAGAUCAAUGGUGCGUGUACACUUAAGUAUAUCUUUUGAUUGUUUUCGUUGCCUUAAGAUAGUGUAUUGAUGCUAAUAAAACCGAAUAGUUUGUUGAAUUUUUUCAACAUACAACAUAACAACUAUAUUUCAAACGGAGAACGAACAAAGGUAAAUAUAAUAUACACGUUUAUAUGUGCAAGUAAUUUUCAAAAAUAGCUUAUCUCUUUUAUCAUUCUCACAAAUUUCCAAGCAGCGCAAAACAAGUUGAACGGAGAAACGAUGAAAAUCUAACAUGAAGACGUUACCGAUGACAAAAUACAAAUUUGAAGUACAUAAUAAAUGGCAAAAAUGUUAUCCUUAAUUUACAUGAAAAUGUUUUUUUUUUAACCGGCAAAUAGUUAUAUUAAUAACGAGAAAAAGACGAAACCAACUUCUAACAAGUAACUAGAAUAGGAGCAACAACAGGAGAAAACAAAACACAAUAUUUACAUACACAUUUUGGGGCUCACACACCACUCUGACCAGCUAUAAGAACAAUCUUUUCUCCUAUAUUUCACCCAUGUAUGCACCACGGAUUUUGCAUCAUCAACCACCUUCGUUGGUGACACUCGCCUUUGUUUGAACACUAGUCACAUCUAGCCUUCCAGAUUAGCCCAGCACCAUAACAUAUACAUAAGAGGUUCCUGUUCCUUUUCACGCAAGUUCCCCGUUGUGAACAAAAUUGCACCAGUUCUCCAAUGUUAUUAACCUGGGGUUUAUUGAUUUCGCACCAUCUAAAGACCCACCCACGUACCUCGUCUGCAAACGGACAACGGAAUAGUAUAUGAUUAGUAUCUUCAUCACCGGAUUUGCAUUCUGAAAUAUUGUGGAGUCGAAGUUUAAGUUCCUUUUCUGAAGCGCACAUCUGGUUGGAAUGCUAUCAAGGUUUGCCCUCCAUAUGAAACACACCACCUUAAUUGGAACCUCAUGGAUCCAUUUUAUGAUUAUCUCCCUUGGUGCAUUGCUUGGACUAUCAAUUUUUUUCUCUUAAAGCGUCAACAUGGUAAGCCUUGUCAGUUGAGAUGCUAUAGUACCAACAAUCCAAACUCGUGGUUGGUUGGAAUACACCAAUUUUUGAUACGAUUUUGGUUAUCCUCACUUAGCCUAGAUUUCCGGUCCCAACUUAUCUCUCCAAUUUUUACUUUGUUGUUGAUUUUGCAAAAUUUCUUUCGUUCCAGUUUAUACAACUCAUGAAACUCAGCUUUAAGUUUUGUGUCACCACACCAUUUAUCAUGCCAAAACAGAGUUUUAUCGCUUGCACCAAUGUUUUUCUUGAUUAUCUCAGUAAUGUCUAUCCCCUUCUUAAUUAGCACAUCUUUGACUUUAGCCAUGUUAUUCCACACGGCAGUGUAUGUCUUUUUGGCCAUAUACUCUGAAGGUUUGUUGGAUAAACUGUGGAUGCCUUUGAUGACUCGAAUCCACAACUCGUUUUCUCCCUUCUUUAGUCAUCACCACCACUUAACUAUCAAAGAUAAGUUACAUGCCCGCAUCGAUCCCAAACCAAGGCCUCCUGAUUCUUUGGGAGACACCACCUUCUCCCAUGCUACCCAACAUAUUUUUUUCUUUUCUUCCGAACCUCCCUAAAGAAAAGAUCUUAUUUUUUCCAACAUAUUGAUGACCCCACUAGGUGCAACAAAGAGCGAAAAGCGGUAAGAGGGAAGGCUGCCUAGAAUAGACUUAGUAAGAGUUAGUCUUCUCCUAAGUGAUAAAGUUUUUGCUUUCCACGUGCUAAGCUUUGCUUGGAACCUAUCGAUCACGGGCUUCCAAUGUUUCUUUUGGUUCAUGUUUGCGCCUAUUGGGACCUCGAGAUAGGUGAAUGACAAUUUGGCAGGUUCACACCCAAGUGGGAGCACUAAGCACGAAACCUCUUACAUAUCCACCCCAAUACCGAACACUCAGGAUUUAUGGAAGUUUACUUUAAGUCCCGAUGAAACAUGGAAACAUCUAAGUAUCCUCGAAAGAUUUUUAAUAUUCUCCUUACUCAUUUCUCCUAUAAACAACGUGUUAUCAACGUAGAAGAUGUGAGAUAAGAGAAUAUCGUCGUGUGGUAUUUUGAUGCCUUUGAAUAAGCCUUUCUCGCACGUCGUGUUCAUUGUUGUGUUAAGUCCUUCCAUGAUGGUAAUGAAAAGAUAUGUUGACAGUGGGUCGCCUUGACGAACGCUCUUCCCCAUUUCAAAUUCUUUUGUGGGCGAUCCGUUCACAAGUACCGAAGCCCUUGCUAAUUUAAGGCAUCCUUGUAUCCAACCUCUCCAUCUUUCCCCGUAUCCCAUUUGCAAGAGUAUUUAGUCUAGGAACUCCUAGUUUUAUCGAGUCGAAAGCCUCAUCGAAAUCGACUUUGAAAACUUAUACACUCCUUUAGCUUGUGGUUGUAAGUAGUGAAUUGUCACUAGUUUACCUUGUGGUCAUACAACCAUGACUUGCAUUUUUUUCUUUAGAUAAAUCACAUCGUCACUCUUUGACCGCAUUAUGGUUCUCAACAUAGUUUUAUGGAAUUGUGUGCCGAAAUGGUUAAUCCUUUAGCACGCCCCUCUAAAUGGGAAGAGCACGACAAAGUAUCAAUUAUUAGAUAGUCGUUUGUUGACAAAGGAUAAGUUGGGCACAUAAAGAGCACUCAUGCAUACAUUUCUAAGGAAAGGUUCUAAUAACAGAAAUCCCAGAAUGGUUAAUACUCUUUUUAGCUAGCUGCUUCUUUUUCUUCAUAGGUUUUCAGGAUUUUCGAAAUUGUGUUAUAAGAAGUAGUUAAAUCCACAUUGCUUAUGAAAUUAUUUAUAUUAUGGGCCACCCCUUAGCAAAAAUAUGAUUAUAUGGUACAAUCUAUUAUUAUGUUAUUAUCAUUCUCAAGAGUUGUUUGACCGGAAUUGGAAUUCAAUUCCAUUCUCAUCACAUCCCCUGUUUGCUUGCAAAUAAGUACGGAAUUGAAUUCCUUUAAAAUUUACAAAAUCCUGAGACCUGGGAAUUUCAACAUCACAUCGUUUAAAUCCCCCAUGGAAUUCAAUUCCCACAUUUUCUCAAAAUUAAAAAAUAUUCAAGUAUCCUUUUAACAAUAGAAUUUUACAAAUGCCAAUUCCUUCCAAAGAAAAAAAAAGUAAGAUGCUAUAAAGCACAUAUAAAUAAACAAACUAAUAUCUGAUAUGGAAACUGGAAAGCAAUGCAAUUUAAUUUAAACCAAAUUAUGAGCUAGGAAUAUAAAGGAUUCACCAUACCUAAUGAUGAUAAUGUUAACAUUGCAAAAUCAAGAAAUCAUGUUAUCAUCAACAUACCAUGUCUAUUUUGGUAAUUUCUCCUCUACUUCAUUCCACAUAUCAGCAUUCUUAGGAAACUUCUCCUUUGCCUUUCCAAUAAUCUCUUUUGCCUCAUCAACCUUAUCACUAUUUGCAAGCCCUUCAACAAGCAACUUCAUAGUAGAAAAAUUAGGAAACCAAUCUUUCUCCAUACUCUUCUUACAAACCUCCAAUGCUGCUUUAAAAUCACCACCUUUACACAAAUAAUGAACAAGUGUAAAGUAACAAUCACUCUCUGGUUUAAAACCACCAUUGAUCAUUGUCUGAAAUAACUCUUUAGCUUCAACUAACUUUCCCUCCCUGCAAUACCCAUGAAUCAAAUGACUGUAAGUGAAUGAAUUUGGUUUAAUUUUUCUUGAAAGAAGCCCAUCGAGCAAAGCUUUAGCUUCCAUGGUCUUUUUAAGCUUACACAAGCUCUGAAUCCUGAUGUUGUACGUUCCAAGGGUUACAGGAACUUCAUACUUCUUCAUCAUUUCGAGCACUUUCCCAACUUCCUCAAACUUUUCUUCUUUGUAAAACCCAGCAAUCAUGGUGCCGAAUGUGGUUGCAUUUGGCUUGCAUUUCUUUCUGAUCAUCUCGGCUGUCACUGAGUAGCAUGAACUCGAUGAGCCUGAUUCGCAAAAGGACUUGAUCACGGUGUUAUAGGUAUCGAGAUUAGGCUUGAUGCCGUAUUUUUGAGGAAAAUCGAGAUAAACACGCUUCACCUCGUCGUAUUUCUUUGCCAACAUACAAGAAAACAGUAGAGCAUUUAGAGAUUUCGCGUUUUGAACAGCACCCAGUUCGGGCAUUUUAUCGAACAGUUGGAAUGCAUUGGUUAACAGCCCAGCUUGACCGUAGUAAAUAAUCGCGUUAGAGAUGAACUUCUCAUUGUUCAAAUCUGGUCGGGUUUUAAGUAACUCGUCGAUGAAAUUACGGAUUCCCUCGAAGUAAUUUAACUCGGUGAGCUUUGAAAUGGCGAUCGAGAAGGCAACGCGAUCGAGAUGAGAUUCCGGCGUGAGUGAAGCUGCUCGGCAGAUUUCAAUAAUUCGUUCUGGGUUUUUCUCGAAUUUGAGGAGAGAAAGAGCCGCUCGUGAUUUCUCUUUGCUGGAGAGAGGAGUGGUGGAAUCAGGGUUUAGGAUUGAUGACAAAUGACGAGCUUGAAUUUGAUAUACCGGAAAAAGUUUUUGACGAUUACAUGAGUUAAGUAAUCGAAGCUUGGUGAUGGAAGCCAUUGAUGUUACAGGACUGAAGCUCCAAGACUUGAGAUAUGAGACAAGAGUAGGGGUUUGAGUUUGAUUUUGGGAAUUAGGGUUUUGUGUUAAAAGAUUUUCAAAAGGGCUUAUACUAUCUAAAUGUGUCAGAUUGACCCCUUGUAUUUCCACAUGUUAUAAGAUUCGGUACACAUGUUAUUUGUCAUCAUAAAAUCUUAAUACUAUAAAAGAUUGAUGCGAAGUAGCUGAGCAAAAAUGUGAUAUAAAAUGAUUAUAAAAUUUGUUUGUUUAAUAGAAUGAGUUGAAAGUCAAAACUAGAUAUUGACUUAAAUUCAAGUAUUUAGUGUUGAAUAAUUUUUUUUUAAAUAAUCGUUUUGUUUGAGAACAGUCUUGCAUGUUCCGUCUGACAUCUUUUUAAUUGUCAUCGUACAAUGAGUGAGAUGACAAACGAGCAACAAGUUGUGUCGCUAAGCCUUUUUGAAUGGUAAAACUAAUUCUUUUAAAGACUACAUCCGAAGAUCUAGGAGAUAUAACAUUACUAUGCAUGAUUCAUUGUACUCUUUUAAGAAGCUCUAUCGCAUCCGGUGCGAGGAAAUCAAACGUAUCAAAUGCAAAUGGUAUGAACACGUGUUGAUUUUCCAGGCACGAUCUCUCAUGUUUGGUGACUUUGAUUGUGGUUGCUUUUAAAGCAGCAUGUCCCGCUGUGAAACCCCCAGCACUCAGGCCCACGAGAGGGGAUACCCCUGUAAGAUCUACACAUGCGUGUUUCCCUCCGACCCAUCCAAAAAUCAAAAUGUCAGCCGAUUUGAGGGUUGACCUUCCUUCUGUCGGGUCAGUUAAGAAAUUAAUAGGUGCCUCUUUCUUAGCGGAAACCCCGACACGCUUAAAUAUGUCAAACAAGACAUCCCUAACCAUAUCGUGCCUGUAUUUGAACCCCGGGAGUUCUUUACAGUGAACUGCAUGCUCCCCAAAAGAGUCCAAACAUGCCUUGCGACACACAAGACAUAUCUCGUCAGCUAGGAAAAUGGGAAUCAUGAGUCGAUAUUUGAGAAUAGUACGAUACUCCACGGGAGACAUGUGUUGGCUAAGCCCAUCUAUAGGGAUAGCCAGAAGAAAAUAUUGAGCAUGUGGCGCACGUAAGCACUGGAAAACUGCUUUCUGCCGAGUCGUCAUGUCGAAAUGCACUUCCAUAUCUUGGACAAUUUUACGAAAAAAGGCACUCGCCAGUUUAUUCUGGGAUUUUGGGGGUGUCUUUAGUAGUAAAAUUGUUAAGGUCAAAAUCUGGAAGCUUGUUACGAAGGGAUGCCAAGGCACAAUCAUAAUCAUAAUCCAUACCAUGUAUACCGCUAUCCCGUAAGAUGUGGUCUUGCAAUACCCAAGAUUGGGCCCUUGAGGCAACAAAAUCAUAGGAGGUAGCCUCUACUGCCGAGUAUAAACCCAAACCCCCAAACCUAAUGGGUAAGGAAUCAAUUCGCCAUUGUAUGUCACCAAAGAAAGGGCCCCCACAAACCAUAAUGUCCUCAAUCACCCCGCACAAUCCAUUGUCAAAGAAUAUUCCUCCAUGUGAACGGGUUAGCACGUCCUCAACCCAAAGAAAAGCUUAGCAAUACCCAUACAAGACCGAAGAAGAAGGAGCUCACUAUAGGGGUCAGACAAUUAUGGAAGAAGGCGCAUCAAAUUCAUAGCGUUUUCGGAUCUCUUUAUGGCUAGGUUGCGAAUGAAACUAGCAUCUCUACUAACAGCUCCCCCAAGAAGUUUCACCCCCAAAGGCGACCUCCCGAUGUCCGACGGAAAUAACCCCUCUUGUAACUUCCUACCAUCACACGAGGGCCAAAAGAGCUCGGUUUUCUUGAUAUUCAGCUGAAGGCCCAUUUUUGGGCUAGUCACCAUAAUGAUGUCCAAUGCUUUGGCCACCUCCUCCGAAUCUCCGAUAAGUGUGCCAUCAUCCAAGUACCAUGCAUGGAGAAGAAGCUUACAAUUGUCUCUAAUCUUAUGCAAGAGCAGAUCCCAAGGGGUCUCAUUGUUGAACCCCAGUAGAAGACCUGAUAUGUGUGUUGCCUAGAUAUAACCUUGUUGCUUGACCAUAUAGGAAUUCUACCCACAAGGAAAUAGAGGGACACCUCAAUAUGACCUCAUGAAGUAAUGUGGAUCUGUUGACAAGGUUAAAGGCAUUAGAGAAGUCCAUGGUAAUCAUGGAGAGAGAUUUUUCAUCGUGUCGCUCACUCAACAACCUAUUGGCGCUAUGUAAAAUGGCCUUAACGCCACCCGACACCCCGACUCCGAACUGAAAAUCAUUGAGAUAUUUGACCAUUUCUUUACCAACCCCUUUCAUGGCCAACUUGGAAACCAAGCAUCUCCAUAUAGUACCUACUGCAAUAGGUCGUAUUCCCUUGUUAGGUUUUAAGAGCGGCGUGAGAGGAGCAGAGGCAACAAAUUCUGCCAAGCUCGAAGGGCAUCUUCCCCCUAGCCAUAGAUUAACCACAAAAGUAAUAGCACGCAUGAGCUCUUUGGAUAUAGUCGAACCUUCUCCACAAAGGGCAUCUAAAAUGUGUUGAGCUCUCAACCCGUCCCUCCCACACGAGGUACUUUUAGGGAAGGAUUUAAUUCCCCCAAGGACAUUGUCAACAUCCACUACCAGGGGAGGUUCUGAAAAUUUGGUGUUGUGCAUGGAAGGCGGUGGCUUGUAUGGAUGCUUAUCCUCCAAUGCCUUUGUGGCAUCACCCCCAAAUGGAGCAACCCCCGAAGAACAUAAAACUUUCACCGCUGCUAUCCAUCGGCAACCUUACGAAGACAUUGUUUGACAUUGGUGCUGCCCAGUGUUCUUUUCUCCUGAAUGUAAUCUUCUUUUUUAUAUUGUUUCUCCACUCUUGCAUUGUCAACAAAGUUUUUAACUAGCUUGGAGAUACCGUUUUCAGUCCCCCAAGUAGCUAAAGCGCUCAAGAUAUUACGAUGUUGCAAAGACUUCCUGUUGCCAAACCUGCUUUCUUGCCUAUUCUUGGGCCUGAACACCUGAAGAGUACACCUAGGAAGAAUUAACAGAGCAACCCACGCUUCAACAGAUCCGGGAUGACCAACCACUUUGGAAAGGGCUGCUUUCAAAGCCUAAGAGAAAGCCAUACGACAAUUAUGAGGGAUGUUUUUGACAGUAGUGAUAGGCAGCUUAAAAACACGAUCAAGUAGUUGAGCAUCCAUCACCAACCCAUCAUUGAGGUCGGCUUUCGGUUCAUUGGGUAGCGGCUUUGGAAUGCCAACAAUAUGCAUACUCAUGUCAUCAGCCCCGUCAAUAAACUUAAUCAAGCCACCUGGGGGGUGACACGAACGACUCAGGGCAUGAAGCUUCAUGCAAUCCCCACAUAUCCAUUGACCAAACUCCUUCAAAGUUGUUGCCACAGACAUAAACAAUCCAAUGUCAGAAGUAAUAGCCUCCCGUAACACAGCUCUACGUUCAUCUGUAUGAAGGUGUAAGCUCUUGAGAUGAGAUAUCAUACGGGAAAUCUCUUUACUUCCAACAAUACCAUUUGGGCAACAGUGAAACCCCCGAAAAGGACACGGUCAAGCCCCACUCUCAAAGGAAUGAGAGGACGCCAUAAACCAACAAAUAAAGUUUAUUUAAGCCUCAAGGUGAGACCCAAAAUUAGAAGCACUAACCCAAAAGAAAAAGUGACACUCUAAAAAAAGGCUGGAGUGUGCACAAUGGAACCCACACCGGAUAGAAUCUCUACAUCAGCUUGAGUCGAAAAUUGGCAACAACACUUGAAAAACUCAUUCAGCCAUUUUAUCAAACACUUGGCAGAUAGAAAAAGAAACACCUUGUUUGCAUCACCAAGCCUUAAAUUUUUUUGCCCAAAUGCAAUCUUGAAGCGGGAAUCAUAUAGCCCAAACUAAUUAGUUAUGCUCUACAGAUGGAGUAGGGAACCCAACUUGUCACAGUUUAAAAAGAUGAAGAGUACCCUACAACAUAUACUGCUUUCUGUAAUUCACCCAAUACAAGUUGUAAUGUAGUCUCAAAUACUACAGCCAUCGAUGUGGAGUUCUUUAAUUAUUCAGACUUCUAAUUCAUUCUAAAUUUGUAUCAACCAUUAAGAGUUCUAUCCAGAAGAGUGAUAUUAUUAUUUUUCGUGUCAUCCUCCUUUCAUAUUGUGAUAUUAAACGUAAACCAAUUUCCAACAUUAAAACAAUAUUGAAAGUAAAAUGGUUAAAGUUUUGAAGAAAAAAAUGAACAAAUUAUGUGGAAUGAUUGUAAAAUUUGGUUGUUAUUUUCUAUUUUAUAUUGUAUCCUGUUGAUCCCACAUCAAGACAUAAACUUAUAGAAAACAUAUAUUGGUCGUUCUAUAGUUAUUGAACUUUAAAAAAAAUGUUAAUUUAUCCUAUUUUUCUAACCAAUCAAUAUAUAUAAUAAUAAAUGAAUUAAAAUUCAAAAAACUCUUAAAUGAUCAUGUGACAUCAAGCAAAAGUGCAUGCAUAAGAUACAAUUCUCAUUUGUUAGCAACCAAUACUAAAAAGGUUGAAGUGACAAUAAUUAAAAGUACAUAAGCUAAGUGAAAGUUUUUGGCAAACCGGAGAAACUUGAAGGACUGAGAAGGAACAUAAGAAUAAAACGUAGGAAAAAAUGUAGGACCGAUUUAUAGGAUUGAACCUGACGUGAAUCGAACACGCAACCUUCUGAUCUGGAGUCAGACGCGCUACCAUUGCGCCACAGAUCCUGAUGACAAUCUAUCGUAAUUAAAGUUUUAUAACUAUCUUAUAGCAUAGUUUUCAAAUAAUAAAAUAAUAUUUUCCAUCACCUAUCCAGCUUUUUAUAUUUAUUUAUAUUAGUGAUUAUCUAAUCUAAUUAAACUUAUUGAGUGUAAUUUGGGUCCAAUGGUCUUUAUCUGUAUUAUUCGUGCAUAUUAUAUUAUAUUUAAUCAAUAGUUAAAUAUUUACUUGCGAAAAUGACUUUUAAAAUAAAUAAAUAAAAUAUUUUGAUUAUAUUCUUGAUAAAAUUGAAAUAUACAUAAAUGAUUAACAUGGCCUUGCGAAACGAUAAUCCACACUAAUCGAGAAACAAUCCAAAAAGAAUAUAUUUUUAAACAAAUGUUUCAUGGAUGCCUUCAAAUUAAAUUAUGGGCUUCAAACUUAUUUUAUGUGAGAAAUAGUUUAAAAUUAUCAUGACUUCGAAACUUUGAAAGUUUUAAGCUAUAUAAAUAGGUGAAAUAUGCAAUCCACAUAAUCUUGAAUUUCAAGUGCCUCUUUUUCUUUGUAUAUUUUUGUUAUCGAAAAUUGUCUGUUGGGUCGUAACAUAAAACCGAGGUAAAAGUGUUGCAAGUUCGUUCAUAAUCUUUGAUACAUUAACCUAGCUUAUGAUUAUUUUUACUAUGGUAAAGAAUUUCCAUCGAAGAUCUUUGAUUAUAUAGUUCGGUUUACACAGAGUUGUAAAGAAAUCAACGGGGAGACGUUAUUACAUGUGAGACGAUACAUUAAAACAAAUAUUAUCGAUUUGUAAAAAAAUAAAUUAUAGUUGUAGAAGUUAUAUAAAUAAUGUAAAUAUACACACUUUUUGGAUGCAAAAAUACAUCCACCAUGUUGAAAAUCAAAUUUUAGGUAAACAAAAAACUUAUUUGCAUUCUCUUUGCCUUUGAGUUGUGUUUUUCUUGGUGUCAAGAUUCUUAUUCUUAGAAACAAAUCUUAAAGACCAUUAAAGGUUAGAAAAUAAACAUUGAAGAUGAUUUGAAGCUUAGAAAAACAAAUUGAAGAUCAGAAAAUGAACCUUGAAGAUGAAUUGUCUGUUUUUGGAAUCAGAUUUUUGUUAUAGGAUUUUGUUCUUGAAAUCGGAUGUUAUAUUUUUAUGUUCUUAAAAUUGUUUUCUUUUUGUUUAGAUCUCUAGGUUUGUUUUGUUUUUUUCUUUUGUUGUUCCUGAAAUCAUAUGAUUUGAGGGCGGUGGUUUGAAAGCGUAUGGUUUAAUGGUGUGCUUGAAAUAUGGAUACCCUUUUGUUCUUGAAAUUGAUUUUUUUUUUUUUUUUUUUUUUUUUUUUUUUUGUUUUGUUUGGGUUCUUAGUUAAAAUGAUUGAUAGUGGUGGAAGGAGAUUAAUGGUGGACGAUGGUCAAUUGUGGUUGCAUGUGGAUGGUCAUCGAUGUUGGUAGUAGUAGGAGGUUGAAUGUUCAUGAAAUAGAUGGUGAAACAAAGAUCUUAAAAUUUAGCUUCAAUGUACGAUUAUAAGUAUCCAGAUCAUAAGAUUCAUAACUAGAAAAACUUAUUACAUCUUGAAAAGCUACAAGAAUAUACAUCAAUCAGAUAACCAAAUUAAAAAUCAAAAACAAAUUGAAGGUUAUUCCCAUGAAUUGAAAAGUAAUCAUUUCCUGUGUUCUAAGAGUGAAAGAAAAUGUAGAAAAAAUAAUGUGAAAUGUGACUGAUGAAAUGGUAAAUUUGGUGUAAUUUGCACAUUUUGUCCCUAACAACUUUUUUUAACCAGGACAAUCUCUGUGCUUUGGUUUUGUUGCGUCAUUGGUCCCUCAAUCACGUAAAAAAAACUAUUAUGCCCUUAUGUAUUUCUUUUUUAAUUUUUUAUUAUUUUUGUUUAUCAUUUUUAAAUCAAAAAGAAAAAAACACCUACUCCACAUUUUAUCCCCACUCACCCUAACUCUCCUUUUAUGUCUCUUCCCAAACCCUUUUUCCGAUUGCCCCGCUCCCUUCCAUCUUCUCUGUAGGAAGUUAAAAACGCAAAUUUGUAGGGAGCUACAUCCAAUCGUUAACAAUUUUGAAAUCGAUGAUGUUAUCAGGAAAUUGAUUUUUGUUUCAGAACCCUUCAUAUGAUUUUUAGUUUCAAUCUCACAGAUCGGUGGUAGGUUCCUUAGUUUUGAUUUUUAUUUGAUUUUGGAAUUAGGAUUUUGAAAUCGUUUGUGUACCAGUAUCAUAGAAAUCAGUUGUCGAAAACUCACUGACGAGUCCCCGUUUUUCUCAUUGCCACUUCGAUUGCAUCCCUAACAAUGUUACUAGAUUUCAAGUUUAUUAUGGUUUGGUUUUGCGUUUUGAUUUCACAUUUUUAUUCUGGGUUGGAUGGAACUUUAAAUUCAGGUUUAAUUCGUUUCCAUCUUUGAUUUCAAGUUUGAUUAUUAGCUUUGUAUUUGAUUUGAUUUUAAUUUGGUUCCCAUGGUGGUAGUUUCCGAUGCUAUGUACGGUGUUUGUUGUUGGUUGUGGAGGUGAGUAGGAUGUGGGUGGUGGUGAUUACGAUUUUGAGUGAAUCUUUGAAAAAGAAGGGUGGAUGGGGUUAAAUUUGUGGGGUGAAAGGCUAAUAGAGGAGAUGGUGGUAUUUCAAGGGAGGUUGAGGGGAUGGUCGAAGUUUGGAAGUGAGGUGAGGGAUGACUGUAGGUGGUCGGUGGCGGUAGAGAGGGUGGAUGACAAUAGUUGUGGCAGAGAGAAAGGCGGACGCCGCGCGACAUGGAUGGAAUUUUAGAGAGGGAAGUUUAGGAGUCAAUGUUCCGUUGGAGUAAAAGGUUUGGGUUUGGAUGGUGACAUGGACCUUUUUAAUAAAUGGUUUUUAUAAAUAACAAAUAGUUAUAAUAAAUCCAAAAAUAUAAUUAUAAGGCUAAAACUGUCUUUUUAUAUCUAGUAGGGACUGUGACGCAACAAAAUUAUAUAGUAGGGAUGGUCCGAGUUAAAAAUUUAAGUUAGAGACCAAACAUACAGAUUACCCCAAACCAUAGGGACCAUUCGUGUAAUUUACCUUGAUGAAAUAUGAGUGUAUCAUAUAUCAUUAAUUUAAUGAGUGCAUAUAUAAGAUUUGUCAAACAAUUUCUAGAUACAUCAACAAUUUACACAAAUAAAAGGUAAAAUAAAAAAGAGUGACUUGUUUAGUUGUUUGAUACUAAAUUAUCAAAAUAAAUUACUUCUAGAAAAUGUAUAUGUUAUUAUUAUUUUUUUGUGUUGGACUUAAAUUUACUAAAAUACACCACAUGUGGAUUGUUUUGAUUUUUUUGCUAUGUUUUCUGAGAGAUAGAUGUUUAUUAAUGUUUACACUAAAUAAAUCAUAAUUAAAAGAUGGGGUUUUCUAAUAUGUGCCCUAGGACAUUAAUUAUGAGAAAUAUUAUUAUAACUAAAUAUGAAAUGCAUUAAUUAUACAGAAUGUUAUCUGUUAAAUAUAUUUCUUCACACUAGGUACCUUAUGCACUAAAGUAACAAGUAGAUAACAAAAAUAAAAAAAAAGCGAGAAUAGAGAAUUAACAACGAGAUAUGAAAACAAGGGAAUUAAAAGAUUGCUUAGAGUCUAAAUAUUAUUGGCUUAAUAAACUUAAUCUGGAAUAAUAAUAAACAAAGGCACAUACUUAUACUAAUUCUAAAAGAGACCUACUCAAAUACAAAAACUAGGAAAAACUUAAUAAAAUAAACUUUCCUAUUUGAACUAAAAAUCCCUAUUUGAUUCAAACCGAUUAUCCCAACAAUCACCGUCUUAAUCUGUUUGGUCAUACCAUUCGUUCAAAACAUUGUCGGUUCCUCUUCGAUUAGACUCGCUUCUUCCUUUUCUCAUUUAGGACACUCGUUUUUAUAGUGACCAAGCUCACCACAUUUGUAACAUCUAACUUGACAUUUAUCCCGGACACGUUCAUUACCAUCUCGACUUCUCCCGGACCCCCGACCUCUUCCCCGGUCACGUCGAAAGUCAUCCCGAUUUGAACGUCCAUUGCCACAAUGCUUACAAACAUGUGAUUUUUCCUCACUAGCCAACAAUAACCCACCUUGAGUGUCCUCCACUUUCUCGGUUCCUCUUAUACACUCCUCAUAUGCCUUCAAUCUACCAACUGCUUCAUCGAAUAACAUUGAAUCCAACUCGAAAUAUUGCUCUAUUGAAGUCACGAUUUGAAGAAAACGACUUAGGCAUCGAAUCUAGUAACUUUUUUACCAAAUCACCUUCUUCAAGAUCAUAUCCAAGACUCCUUGAUUUUGACGCUAAACCGGAUAAUUUCGUCACAAAAUCAUCAACCGUUUCACCUUCCUUCAUGCACAAACUUUCAAGCUCUCUCUUUAACGUUGCAAGCCGAGCCAUUCUCACCUGAUCCACUCCCAAAUACCGUGUUUUCAGCCCAUCCCACACUUUCUUUGUUUCGGUGUAACUCGCCAUUUGCAACACCAUGUAUUCGGGUACCGCUUGAAACAAAAAGCAAGAGCUUGUUUUGACUUUUUUUGAUCUGAUGUUUCAUCCGCCUUUGGUUCGACCGUCUCCCAUAUGCCGUGUGCAUCCAUAAUCGACUUGACUUUGACCGCCCACACCGGAUAAUUCGUUGGAGUCAAAACCGGAACUUGAUACGUCAUCGAACCUCCUUCUUUAACCAACAACAUCCUUUUAUCCUUAACCCCGACUUCUUUAAUCAAGCUUGUUCCGAAAGCACUCUUCCACCGGACAACAAAACAAGGUCACAACCCCCUUUACCGUCUUUCGUCACCCGUAAAACGAACCGAAUCAAAGUCACCCGCUUUGACGUCUUCUCGUUCAUUUACUCCGCGCCUCCGGUUAGUCCCUCACAAGCCCGAUUAAAAGAAAUUGGGGUUGCUUCUAAUCAACCUCGAAUCACACCCCCUUCAACGAAAUCGCGCUUUUAUACCAAGUGUUAAAUAAACUUCUUCACAUUAGGUACCUUAUGCACUAAGGUAAUAACAAGUAGAUAACAAAAAUAAGAAAGAAACAAGAAUAGAGAAUUAACAACGAGAUAUGAAAACAAGGGAAUUAAAAGAUUGCUUGGAGUCUAAAUAUUAUUGGCUUAAUAAACUUAAUCUAGAAUAAUAAUAAACAAAGACACGUACUUAUACUAAUUCUAAAAGAGACAUACUCAAAUACAAAAACUAGGAAAAACUUAAUAAAAUAAACUUUCCUAUUUAAACUAAAAAUCCAUAUUUGAUUAAAACUGAUUAUCCCAACAUUAUCCAUAAUUAAUAAAUAUUCUUUAUAAUCAAUGUAUUUUAUAUUUAAUUAUGGUAAUAUUUUAAAUAAUUAAUCUUUCUUACGUGUCUUUAGGUCACGUAUUAGAAAAUUCCUUAAAAAAUAGAUAAAAAAAUAAAAUGUUUUAAAAUAUUUCAAAAAGAUAAGAUCUGAUAAAAAAGAAAUAGAAGACUAUACCCAUUUAUAACUUAUAAGUAUGAAUGUUCAUUGGUUUUGAUAAUGAUCUCCACGGAUCAGCCUUUUAUUGGUUUACAAAUGUUUAAAUUGAAAAGAAAAAUCUAAUGUGGUUUGGUUUUAAACCAAACAAAUAUUAUAAUAACGAACUUUUUUAAUUUACUGGGACAUCCGAAAUAAUUUCACAACAUCUUAUUUCAUAAUUUAGACUCACAAAAAUCCAAGAUUCUAUACCAAAUAAUUUCAUUUUGGACUAUUAGUAGCUUCAAACCAAUAAAAGAAACACUUGCAAAAAGGAGCAACCCCAUGGUGUUUACGUUUGAAGUUCAAAAUACAAUAAUUGAUUCAGGCUAUUGUGAGGAUUUUUCUCCGAUUGUUGUCUUUCUUUUUUUGGAACUCAUUGCUAAUCAGUUAGUUUCUCGUUCUCGUAGACUAUCAGUCCAAUUUACCUCUCACAUAAUAGGUUUUAGUAUGUUCGUUAUAGGCAUAUUAGAAUUGUCAAGAUUCAACCUUUUGUAAUUUGGGAUUAAAUAGAAAAGGGACAACAAAAACCAGACCAUAAAUUAGAUCUUAAGAAUCUUUAAGGAAGGGUUACAUCAUAUUUAUGGAAAUAUUAAGGAACAUAUAGAAUUAUAAAGCAUAGGAGUAGGACUUGCUCAAUAAUUUGUAGUCGACUGAAUUAUUUAAGUUUUCUGGUUUAUAAAAUUUAUAUCUUUACAUCUUUAUUAUUUAUAAUUACAAUAUAUAUAUAUAUAUAUAUUUGUUUAGAUAUACAUAUACUAUCUUCUAUUAAUUUUAUUUAAAAAGAUAUUAACAAAAUUAACCCAUAUAAACAAGUUUAUUAACAAAAAUAACAUUUUUAUUGGACUUUCAUUCCAAACUAGCUAUGUUUGUUCCACAGUUGGUAGUGGUUCGUGAGAUGUGAUAUAAAAAUAUUUCGAAAUAUGACAUCAUACAUUCUAACUGACUUAGCUCGUUUUGGUGUAUAAUCUGGAAUGUACUUGCAUUCCAAAAUGAUGUUUUAGAGUUACAAAAAUCAACAAUUUCUAUAUCCAGUGUUGGUUCAUUUUGAAAAUAAUUUAUAGAAAUUGUUUAGAGAAUCUUAACAUCUAACUUUAUUUUAUUGAAAAUAAGUUCUUGUAAUCAAUUUUGCAGAGUACAUGUUUGUUGUGGAGGGUAAUGAAAGUGAAUAGAUGGCUCUUGGCAAUAUAUUGUUCUAUAUUACACAUAUUAUGAUGUAGAUUUAACCAACGAUUUCAAAAAAUUUUAGGUUGAUUAAGUUGGUUUCCUCGAAGUCCAUGUUACAUACUAAUCAGAUUUGUUUGUCUUUUCAAUAUCCUAGAUCAAACAUAGUUAUGCAAAUUAUUAACGAAAUUGAUAUGAGAUAUUUUCUUAGUUUUGUAAUGAGUAUGUCUCGUAACAAAGUACAAUUGUUUGUUGUUAAUCAUGAUCUUGAAAAGUGGAGUUAAUUAUGCAAUUCUCAAGGGAAAAUCAUUCUGAUGAAAGUAGGUCGUUUGAUGUCUGAAGUAACCAUAUGUAAGAUAUUACUUACGCCACUAAAUCAGGUUCCUUGUUACGUUAGACAUGUAUAUGAAGCCGAUCUUAAGUAUAAAGGUAAGCUUGUUGAUGAUGACAGCCCAACAUUUUUAUGGUGAUGAAUCAACAAUCAAUCAAGAAAAAUUGAUAAUGUUGGUUGAUGAUGCAAACUUAAUUCCACACGAAAACCCGAUGGAAAAAUUCUAGUGUUUUUUAGAGUAUGAUGAUUACGAGGUUGGUUCUUGUGACAACCUGGAAUUUUCUAUCCUGUACAGUCAAACACUUCAUUGAAAGUCAAACUCAUUCCUGCUAUCUUUUAGCACAAUUAGGAGUUUAUUUGAGCGUUCUGAGCCUUGUACACUUAAGAAAUAAGUGUCGGGGUUUAUCUGCUGAAGUUUUAGUUCAAAGAACAAGUCUGAAGCCCCUUAACAAGGAUUUCACGGCCACCACAAGGGAGUUUACGGCCGUAAACUCCAUGUGGGCCGUAAACUCCUCCUAUAUGAUGAAGACUUGGCCAUUUGUUCAUUCAUUUCUUUCCCUUGGUUGAAAUCCUCUCAAGUAUCAUCCCAAUCUUCAUCCCCGAUCUUCAAAACUCGUAAGUUUCUUGCCCAAACUAGUUGAUAUCUUACAUGAACUAGUGAUCUUACAUGAUUUCAUCCGUGAAAUCAUUCCAUUUGUAUAGAUCUUCAAGUUUCACCAAGAACACACACUAGUGUUCUUGGCCAAAACCGACCAUUCAAGCUCCUAGAUCGUAAUUACUCUUGUUCUAACUCGUUGUACACUAGGUUUAACAUGUUUAGAGCUUAGAAAUCACAAAGAAACUCAAGAUCAAAGGAUUUUACAACCAAGACAUGUUCUUGGGCCGUAAACCCCUAUAAGUGGGGCAAAUUGCACCCUAGUCCCUUACCAAGCCUUGGAACUUAGUCUAGAACCAUACCCCAUUGAGCUAGGGACUUCAAGAAACGAAAUGGUACUUCAUACCAUGAGUUUAUGGCCGUAAACUCAUGGGGAAGUGGUCCCUAGGCCGUAAACACAUGUAAAGGUCAUUCUUGGACCUUAAACUCACCUACCCUCUUGUUUAAGCCUUGGAACACUUAACCACAUAAGACACCUUACCUUUAUGCCUCAAAUGGGGACCCAUUAGAGAGUUUACGGCUAGGAGUAAACUCCCCUGGGCCGUAAACUCCAUUAAGUAUGGUCCAUUGACCAUAAACUCACUUACAAUGCCUUGCACUCCUUUGUUGCAACCCAACGGCCUCCUAACACUUUGACCAAAGUGUUUUCCACGCGUUAGGAUAUUUAUACUUGUCUAAUUAGUGUUAUAAUCACUAAAUGUAUAUAUACAUAUGUCUUUAUAUGUUAUUAGGAUCAUUGUGUGUGUUUAAGUCUUCACUUGACACCAAGCACUUGUCCGACACUUCCAUCCGAUCCACUCGCUGUAGGUGAGUCCAUACCCCUUAAUUAACCUUUUAAAUGUUUAUAAAUGCUUUUAUUGGGGGGGAUACAAGUUGAAUCAUGUCAGUUAUUAUAUCAAUCAUAUGUGAUUAAUAACUAGCAUACAAAUGGAUUUACUACACGCUUAGCUGUUUUACCAAGCACAUUACUCCAAAUGACUUUUUAAAACGUUUUUACAUGUUAAAACUCUUUAUCAAACUGUCUUACAUACCGUAUGUUUCCUUUCAAACUCUGUUACAAUUAUGUUUCAAACAAAGGUUUUUCUUAUACUUAAAACUGUCUUAUCAAACAAACUACUUUCAAAAUCGUUUUAUAAACUGACAUCAAGUCAUGAACUCUUAUUUAUUAAACUUUUCAAAGGUUUUACCAAAAAUUCUUUUAUACUUUUAUAUUGUUAAAUGCAUGCCUAUAUAUGUAUAGUUAUAUAAGUAAUGUUUAAAGGACUUAGGACGGCUAGCUCGCUUUAUUUCCUUUUCCUCGUUGGGAUGUGGCCUUAGGGCAUCGGUUAUUCGUCCGAAUGUCAUCUAAAUAUUAGUUAUAUAUCAUGUAUACAUAUAUAGACAUAAAAGUUCCAUUAGUCANUAUAUAUAUAUAUAUAUAUAUAUAUAUGAUUACGUAAAAUAAAUGUGGAUUUCGACCUAGCGAUUCGUUGCGGAAGUCACCUUUAGUUUCCCAGAAUCUCCUCUAAGGAGAACUUUUAGUAUGGGGACUAUCAAUCAAAUUAUUACUUACUUUCAGCGGGUCUCGUGAGAAGACUACUUACUUACAGCGGGUAUCAUGAGAAGACUACUUACUUACUUUCAGCGAGUCUCGUUAGAAGACUAAUUACUUACUUUCAUAAUGGUCUUGGUAGAAGACUACUUUUUAUACUAGUAGGAAAUAUGGGAUUUUCUAGGGUUUUCAUACUUAUACAAACUUUUCCUCAAAACAAUUACAAGACUUUUAUUACAGGUUUUAUUUACAAAUAAUGACAUUAAAUACUUAUGAAUUCACCAGCUUUAUGCUGAUACGCGCUUUCAAAAUAACUUGUAUUCUCAGGUCACAAAUAGACAGGUACGACGACCAGGUUUUGUGAAGACGGAGCAGUCAAGACUCGGCUUUUAUUUUGAAUAUUCAUUAUGUUGUUUUAUACUAUGAAAGAACACACUUGUAAUUAAAAUUAUACUAUUAAUGCAAUGGAUGAUGUUGUUGCUUGUUUACUACUUUACAUUGUUAUGAUACAUUACAUGACGUCCUCCGCCCCAGAACGUUUCCGCCGCUCUCGGUUUUGGGGUGUGACAGUUCUUAUGAUGAGUAAACUGAACCCUGACAACCCCAAAAGGAUAAGUACUCUUAUUAUUUUUCAUAUUUUAAAAAAACACAAACAACUCAUUGGGUAAUGUUUGAUAGGUUACAAUUGCCCAGAUUGUCAACCCAAAAACAUAAACUUUCAUUAUCCCACAACACCUCUCCGCAUAUCAGAGUGUUACAACUGUUCAAAAGCAAAAAGAUAUUAAUAUAACAUUGGGAAUGAAAUGUGUUCAAGAGGGAUUUCAAGUUAAAGUCAAAAAAUCUUCAGCAUAUAGCUUUGAAGGAGUUUACUUUGUUAAAAAUUAUAAAUGGCAGAUAAGAGCUACAAAAGAUAAACUUUUCAAGUCCAUAAAUUAUAAAAAAACACAUUUGUGUUGUCAUAGUCUCCAAGCUAAUUAGAAAAUGUUAGGUCACUUCUUCAAUGACAUAUUAGCUUAUAUGUAACACCUCAUUCCCAGUAUGUAUUUAAUUUAAGUUUCUUGUAUUUGUCCGGGGACUCGAUGAGUUGAUGGCCGAACUCGUCGAGCAGAGUCGUGACCGCGGGAGAGUUUAAGUGGCCUACUCGACGAGUCAGAAGACUAACUCAGUGACUAGGUGAUGUUUGGGUAAAACCCUAAAUUAAGGGUUUGUACCCUAUUUAAACACCUUAUCUCAGCCUCCAUCGUCCCUAUUACUCCCAGAAAGCAUUAUCUCGAAACCCUAGUCAUUUUUGUGUGUUCUAAGGCCAUUUUGGUGCAUUUUGGUGGAUUGUGAAGCUUGAAAAGAGGAAGGAAGCUUGGGAGUUUGAGUUGGGGCUUGGAGAUCCAGAGAUUUUGUUCCAUUUCCAGCUCAUUCAAGGUAAAAUGCCCCUGUCUUGGUCUUCCAUGUGUUUAUUUAUCCUUAGGGCUUGGAUUUUGAGUACCUUUAGGGCUUUCUAAGUCAUUUUCGAAAUUGUGAAGGGUCAUUUGGGGCUUUGACUUCAGAUCUAGGCCAUUGGAGGGGUCCCAUGGCAUAAAGAUGCCAACUCUAUGGCCAUGAGAGCCCCAUGCAUCUUGUAGAGCACCUUUUAUGGGUUUUUGAGCCAAAGACCCCAUGCAUGUGCACCAAGUUUGGAACUUUACGUAUAAAAUGGACAUUAGGAGGCCAGAUCUAUGGUUUUGGUAUGUUAAACCCCAUUUAAAUCGACUGUAUAGUGUUGGUCAAGGAUGAACUCGCCGAGUUGUUCUUGGGACUCGGCGAGUCGCAGCGUAUUGACCACUAAGUCCUUUCUGCAGAUGGACCAGUUGUUAGGGAGGAAAGUCCCGUAGAUGUUUGGAAACGAAAAGGGACAUGGGAAUCAUGGGACUCGACGAGUGUAUGAGUAGGCUCGGCGAGUCCAAGGCAAUCUCCCAAUCUUUGAAGAUGAACUCGACGAUUUGUUCAUACAACUCGGCGAGUCGUAGACCGGACACAUUCUUAUGAAGGAGAUGAACUCGCUGAGUUCAAGGAAGAACUCGGUGAGUCGGAUGAAGAUGGUCCCGAUGGUUGAAUGAAGGAGAAACCGUCGAGUUCUUGCUAAACUCGACGAGUGAAGUCGGGGUUGGAUCGGGUUACUGGAGCAUGGACUCGACGAGUUGGUAGAACAACUCGGCGAGUCAGGUCAACUGGGUGUUGACUUUGACCAGUGUUGACUUUGUCUGGUUUGGUAUGACCCCGGUUAGGGUUGCAUACUCAAAUGAAUAACGUUGAAGCAUUGUCGUGUAGGGAUCAAGGAGUUAAGAGUAGUCGACUUGUACGCCGAAGAUAGUUCAAACACUACACGACAUCGAGGUGAGCUACCUUCCAGUAUGGGUGGGUCUAAGGCCAUAAUGUUGACCCACCAAUAGGGGUAUUUGGUGGAUAAUAGUCUUUGUGAUAAUUAUCUUGGUGUGCUUAUGUGAUAUGGUCAUGAGAUAUGCAUGUACGAUAUGCAAUGUGUAUGUUAGUGGUAGUAGUAGGGAAUAGUUUUUCCCUGACAUCGGUCGUUAGGAUCGAAGGGUAGGUCAGUAACCAGAUAUGCCUGACUAUGUGAUUAUAUCUUGAUAUUGUAUGAUAGCAGUAGGGGGUGAAAUAGUCCCCGGUUACCGGUUGAAAGAUACCGAUGACAGAUACCGGUUGAAAGAUACCGAUGACGAUUACCGGUUGAAAGAUAUCGAUGGCAGUUACUGGUUGAAAGAUACCGAUGAUAUGAUAUUAUAUGUGGUAUGAUGGGGCAACUCACUAAGCUUUGUGCUUACAAUUUUGGUUUUAGUUACAGGUACCUCUUCGUCGAAGGGGAAGGAGCGGCGGUAUAGCAGCGCAUCACACACACACACAUGGUUUCCACAUUUGGUUUCUGGGAUUGUACUUUGAUUUUCAUUACUUUUGAUGUCAUGGGUUGGGACACAACAUUAUGAUUUUGUAAUGUGUUGUUUUAUUGACAAUAUUUUGGUAAAAUGUUUUAUAAAAUAUUAAAUAAAAAAUUAAAUUUUUGGUCUCGAAAUUUGCGAUGUUACAUUAUAUUACAUGAAAUAUGUUACGGGGAAAGCAAAUCUAGCAAACUCUAAAUAGCCGCUCUAGUGUUCAUAUUUCCUAUUGGCAAGCAUGUAGGGAGAAAUUGUAUGUUCUAGAUUUGUUGAGAAAGUCCCUUAAAAAUGAUAUAUAAGACUCAUUGUAUAUUGUUAUGAUUUAGAGAAGAAGAAUCUAAGGACAAUUACACAUAUAAAGACAUAUGACAAAAAAAAUGAUUUGAAUACUUUUUCGCCGCUAUUAGUUGUAUCGUAAGAAUAUUUUACAUAUAUUUUUGUACUCGUUAUAAUAUUUUACGAUCUUAUUACUAAUUUAUUAUUCUAUAGAUUUGAGUGCUUCAAACCUGUUUACGUCCCCUUAUGGUCAUUGAUGAUGCCCACUAAAAAGGGAAUACUUAGGAACUAUGUUCGUAGCAAUAACUAUGAACAGUAAUGACCAAAUCCUGCCACUUGACUUCGGGGGUGAAAAAGAUAAAAAGUGGGGAAUCAUGGAUGUAGUUUUUAUUGAGACUAAGAAAAUGUAUCAACGAUAUAAAAUCUUUAGCCAUCAUACAUUUCCAUUUACAUUGUCUUCAAAGAAUAUCAUAUUGUUAACAUUUGUUGAUGAAUAAACGAGCAAAGAUUGGAAACAUGAUAGUACAAAAUAGUUUCCGGGGGCAUCAAAAACUUACGAAGAGUCUGAUUUUAAAUAUAGUUGGAUUACACGACGACGUGCACUUAUUGAUUAUUGUUGUACAUAAAUUGGCUAUUCCAUAAAACCCUUAAGUUUUCAAGUUUGUCAGUUUUACCCAAAGUUGAAUUUUAUGUCUGUUUUUACCCUCGUAUUUUCCAAAAAAAAGGAUAAUUGUCACUGAGACCCAACAAACUCUUGGGUUUUGGUUUAAAAGGUCCUCCAUCUUAUUUUUUGGUAGUAUAAGGGCAUAAACCUAUAGGUGACCUGUUAAUAAUACCAAGAAUGUAUUUUUUGGCCACUUUUAUCGGUUACCAUACAAUUGAGUUGGAAAAAGUUUCCACGUCAACAUUGAGGAAUUAGGGUUUUAUUGUCUAAUGUCGAUAUCCUCAUGUGGGCGUUUGAUAUUCUGUCGAGAGAUAUAAGCAAGAGAAAGAUAGGAUCUAGCAGUGAGACAAGAGGGAUGAAGGCAAUAGCUCGUUGUUGCUACUCCCGAUGAUGUUAACGAUGAACGUUGGCGACGCCGAUGCACGGGGGCGACGAUAAGGGGAUGUUGGCGAAAAUGGUGACCAAGGAAGGUGGUGUUGGUUCGAUUUCAUGCUUAAUAGUCCGUAAUCUAUUCACAGUAAGUCACUUCAUGUGUCACCGGUUUCACCACCGCCGCCUCUUUGCCAGAAGACGUCAGUUCAUCGUCUGAUUCCAAUUCUUCUUCUCUUACAGACUUCACCCACUGCCUCCCCCAAAUUAAACCAUUGCUUUUGUGUACUUGAUCUGCUUGCCUGAGAUUGCAUUCCAUAUCAAUGUAUAUAUGAUUCUCGAAUCUUUGUUUUUUUUUUAUAAUGCAAUUUUUCUUUCAAUGUUCUUCUUCAAACCAUUCAAAAUUGGGAGUUUAUCUCUUAGCUGUGUUGUAUAUACUCCUUGGUGAUUUUAUUAUUACGUUAUAAUUUUGAAUUGAUUGCAAAAGGUUUUGUUAUUUCUUGAUUGUAUAAACCUAAAUUAUGAAUGAAGAUGAA
rnacentral:lncRNA from 1 species